rnacentral:rRNA from 1 species
UACGUAGGGGGCAAGCGUUGUCCGGAAUCAUUGGGCGUAAAGGGCGUGUAGGCGGUCCGGUAAGUCGGUUGUGAAAGCCCAGGGCUCAACCCUGGGAUGCCGACCGAUACUGUCGGACUAGAGUUCGGAAGAGGCGAGUGGAAUUCCCGGUGUAGCGGUGAAAUGCGCAGAUAUCGGGAGGAACACCUAUGGCGAAGGCAGCUCGCUGGGACGUUACUGACGCUGAGGCGCGAAAGCCAGGGGAGCAAACGGG